rnacentral:rRNA from 1 species
UACGUAGGGGGCAAGCGUUGUCCGGAAUCAUUGGGCGUAAAGCGCGUGUAGGCGGUUCGAUAAGUCUGCUGUGAAAGUCGGGGGCUCAACCCUCGAAAGCCGGUGGAUACUGUCGGGCUAGAGUGCGGAAGAGGCGAGUGGAAUUCCUGGUGUAGCGGUGAAAUGCGCAGAUAUCAGGAGGAACACCAAUUGCGAAGGCAGCUCGCUGGGACGUUACUGACGCUGAGACGCGAAAGCGUGGGGAGCAAACAGG